GAAAUUGGAAAGAGUUUUUUAAAGAUGUAUUCUCCUAAAUUCACCAUGCGCUGUACAUGCACACAUCCUUGGGCGUGAACUUUCCAAAUUUGUUGCGAGUUUCCAAGAUUGAAACCAUUUAAUAAUUUUUUUUUUCAGUUCUAAUGUGUCAAUAUUCUCAGGUUGGGACUUUGGGGAAAUAUUGCAACGUGACUCUGGGCAUUUUGUGUGUGGAGAAGUGAGUAAGCGGUUAAGUUCAUCUCCUUAUAAGGUUAUGUCUGGCCUAUCUCAAAGUUCCUCGACAAACAAGCUGUCACCCAUGAAUUACAUGAGUACUGUUGACUCGUAUCAAAUAAACCGUACUUAUAGGGGUUGGGGGAUGCCCUGAGACUUUUUGGAUUCCAAAAGACACCUACCAUUUUUUUAAUUCGAUGUCACAAACGAGACGAAACUCACGAAAUGCCGCAAACUUGGGAUGAAUGUAAGAGUGUUCCGUCUUCCGUAUGACGAACUAUCGAUAUAUCGUGACGGUUCUGAUUCGACUUCUUCAGUCGCUAGAUCGAGCCGACCUUUAUCGCUGCAAAAUAUCGAUACUCUUUGUUUUGGAGUCGCGCACGCACGUUUCAAAAUGGUGGUUAGUAUCAGGGCGCUUGGCGGUACACCUGUGUGAAGUGCAGAUUAAAAUCGGAAAGAGUGUGUGCCACUGGAGGCCCCCAGACGUACAAUUUCAACUGGAAUUCCGUGAAAAUGGUGAUGAUCCGCUCCUUCUUGAUGACGGGGACGGGGACGAUGGGGUUGUCCUGACUCCCUCCUGAUUACUACUGGCAGCUCCUGCCUUACCCUCCUCCUCCUCAUCGUAGUAGUAAUAGACGUACUCGUACUCGUAAUCCUUUCCGUUUGGCCCCUUCUUGAUCUGUAUCCGAGAAUUGGAUCCUGCUGGAACCAGACUCACGUCACCGAGGUCAUCGAAGUUACGAUUGGCGAAGGGCGUCCAGUUGUCCUUGCUGUCCUCUCUGAUUAUGUUAACUGGAACGAAGUCGAAGGAUGGCCUUGAGUACUGCUGACGAUCUGUCGUUAAUAUUGGACGCAUUGUCGUGGGGUAUUCAUCGCUGAUGUGGACACCAGGUAUGUGAUCAUCCCGGCUGCUUGGGCGGUAUUUGUGAGAGGUCUUCGGUGGUGCAUCCUCUGCAUUGUCGAAGUCCUCGUCGUGGCGUCUGAAGCCUGAACUGAUCGGCAGGGAUUCUUCGGGAAUGUAGCCAGUGGAGCUGAAGGUCUCCAGUUGAACUCGUGCUUGACGCUUUGAGUUUAUGCUGGACGAGUCCUUUGGUGUGUUCACGGGGUUUAGCGGGUCCAGGCUUUGUGGGACUGGCUCGAGGGGAUGGAGCUUGGAGUCUAGUUUCUGGAUUCGCUGGAUCACCUCUUGUUUCUGCUGAGCCCGAUUCGGCACGUCCGAGGGCUCCACCUCUUCUGACGGGUAGGGAAUACCUUCUGGCAGCUUGUGGGAGGUUGCGAAGUCUGGAAAUACAUUUAAAGAGUGGGAAUUGAGGACUUGAAAGAUUGUUUCGGAUUUUUUUGGCCAGUGGAACCUUGGCUUGGUUUUUUACCUGAGCUGGAUGCCCCUCGAGCACCUCCAGGCGUAGACCUUAUGUUAACGUACUCCGGUGUGUGUUUAGCAUCUUCAGACAGUGCAAGCGCAACUGUGCAGCAUAAUCUGCACAUAUAAUGAAGAUUUUGUGUAAUAAAUCUUCAGGUGGAGGUGAACUGGGUUGAAAAAUACCAAGACGUUAUUAAUGAACCAGGAUGCAGAUUGUGAAAGUCCACAGACGUUUAUAAACACUGGGGAUGGCUUUUAGUCAUCGGGGGACUCUGUGGAAUACACUCAACGCUUUCCCGUCCAAUUUUUCAUGCACCCAAUGUAAUAUCUUGUACUAGUAACUCAUGAGCGAAGACUUUUACACCGGGAUUACUAUUUAGUAAAAAUUAUAGGAGAAUUCGCGGAAUUGGCGAUGAGGAAACAGUUAUUACUCACUAAUCUGUUAUUUAUUUUCAUUUAAUCAUUUAAUUUCUUUCUGAAAAUCUAACAUUUUCUAGACGUUAGUGAGUUGUUGAUAAUUUUCAAGGAUUAAAGGAUAGUAAGUCUUAGGGUGUUUCUGGUCAUCUUUAUUUUUAUUUUAUUUUUAACUAGUCAGUAAAUAUUUUUUGCCUCCAUGUGUGUAAACGUGAGUUACGAGAUUUCUUCAACUUUGUGAAAAGGGAACCGAUGAUUACAGUUCUUUCAAGAUCUUCGCGGGAAGUUUGAGGUUUUUAUCGGAUGGUAAUUGAGGCUUUUAGCUCCUCAGGGUGAACCAAUGCGAAUGUAGAAGUGAGGGAGAGAGAGAAGAAUAAAGAAAAUUGAGUGACAAACUGGUUUAAUUACGGGGAAUGAGUCGAGACGAGGUCAUAAAUUUUUCGGCCAAGGCUAACACUGUUGAAACAGGAAUUCUGGAGUAAAAUUGUAGAAACGGACGUAUCUGAACGAUAUGCGGUGCAUUCCAUGAUAUUUACUGGAGGGAAAAGGUUUCGUAUUCUACUGGCAAUUUAAUCUGUGGAGGCAGUAUUUUUUCAAAGUAUUAUUUUCUACGCAGAAAUAAUAUUCUUCAUGGAAAAUAUUUUUUAUUUAUUAUUAUUAUUAUUUAUUUCCUUGAUGUUACAAAAGUCUUUCUUUGCUUAACAUCCUCCCCAGCCUCGCCUUCAAAGAAAAUAUAUCUUCGAUAACAUUAUUAUUAACGAUUAAUUAUUAAAUGAUAGUUAACUUCAAGUGACUUGUCUCAUUAAAAACUUCAUUCAAUUUAUGGAGGGGCCUAGUUCCCCAGCAAAAUAAUAUGACAGUAAUUAAAGUAUUUAACUAAUAGAAUGAUUAGAUUUAUUUGGCUAUGGGAAGACCAAUUAGUCCUGUAAUUUUCACUGAAUGUUUAUCUCUGUGUAUGUGACAACUCAUGUAAUUGGGUGCGGCAAAAUGUUCGCGUCAGGAGUUGAUAUUUCCUUUCAAUUCCGGAAAUUCCAUUGCGUUCAGCAUAUACAUUAUCAUUUUAAUCGAUGAAGUGAUAUUUUUGAGUCCCCGUGGGGUACAAUUAUUUAUUUUUAUGGGAUGAAGUUACGUAUCAUUCAUGAAAUGUUCAGAAUUUUCUUUUCCUCGUAUACUGAGAUUAAUUUUAUUUGUAAAAAUAAGCGGAUAAUGAAAAAAUGUCGAGAGUACUGAGAUCUCUGUGAAUCAUGAUAUCGAGUGAAAUUGAAGUGUUAAUGGAUACCUAGACCUAGUGACACACAUGAUGAGAAAUCCCUCAAGUCACUGAUGCAUCUGCUCACCGGAAGUGCCAGACAAGACAUUUAACUCGGGAAAGAAUGGAGUGGAAAGCUAUUUGAUACCGAAUCCUGGCUUCCCAGUUUUAUAAAGUGAUCCGGAUGUCGCGGGUUGCUUAUUAUCAAUUCACGACCCACGAUGAUGAUUCAACACAAUUGGAGAUUCAUUCUCUCAUUGGUGAAAGAUAAAAGAUCAAUCCUUUCUACUUUCUAGCCGACUUUUACACCUAAACUUCUUUCAAACACAGAUUACAGUGUAAAUUGCUCCGGGAUGAGGAAAUUAUGUUUUUAAUAAUACAUACAAAAAAUAUAUAUGAAAUGUAUGUGUCAUUUAUUUUUUAAUAUGAUUUUUACAAGUGUUUGUGGUACACCUCAUUCGUGAGGUACUUCUCGUCGUGAGAGGAUUUUGAUUAAUCUCUUAAUUGACAAAGGCUCGAAUAAUUUUUAAAUAGUUUUGAUAAUUUAAAAUCCUUUCGAAUAUUCAGGAGACCGCGAUCAACCGUGAAUUAAAAAUACAUUCUCAGAGAAAGGAAAUGAAUUUCCAUAAGUACUUUAAUAUUAUUUCCCAUGAAUUCCACUGGGGAUUGGUCAGUUAAUAGAAGCGAAUGGCGUCAGUUAUUAGUAACAAUUGAAAUAUCACAAUUUUUACUGAAUUUAGAGGAAAUUUAUUUAAUUUUCGACAGUUUAACAUUUCGAUUUUCUCCCAGCAGCUCUAUCCGGUAUUCUAAACAUUUUUAUAUUCCACGGACUAUCUAGUUCCGGCUACGUUUCAGGGUGUUUACAAACAAUAAUAAUCAGAAUGAUAUUGGUAAAAAAAAAUUUUGUUUUCAACUUAUGGUAAGAAUUUAUCACGUUAUCCAUGUGGGAGAAAGUGGUUUCGUGCUGGAUAUAAAGUUAUAAUGCGUAUAGUCAUAUUUCUAACGGUAUUAACAACGACGCUGCUUAUGUAAGAUGACGAUAAUACCGCAAAAACCUUCAACCGAAAACCGCAAGUUUAUUUACUUAUUUUAUUCGUAUUUUUGAAUCCGAUUUUAACAUUAUUAUUUUUUUUGUUGAUCUGCAUCUUGUUAACAUUCACCCGAAGACAAUGCGAACAACAAUAUUUUUAGUUUUUCAUGUUUCUUCAUCAAAGAAUUAAACGGAUCGACAUUAUUGGAUUUUUUUUAUAUUCCUCCGGGUGUUGCACGUCAAAAAAAAAUUCUCAAUAUUUAAAUUUCUCAAAAUUUGACUGGAACAGCAGUUUCAUGCGUCAAUAAAUAUUUCUUCAAGAAUUUAACCGGAAAUUUCUCCCGAGCCCAGUAAUUACAGCGAUAUUAACAAAAUUAUCUCCACAAUAUUCCGUUUAAUUUUAGUUGUUUUCUUCAGUUUCGAAAAAAUUCAUCCCAUUAUUUCCAUUUUUUGUUCCACAAAUGUGGCAACUGCCGGAACAGUGAAAUUAUAUGUAUGUGUAUCGGUUGCCCUCGGGGCAGGACUUUCAAAAAAUUGACGGCCAAUUGGUUUUGACUUGCGCAAGCAAUUGGUACGAUGGCACCUGACACGACACCGUUGUUAAUCGAUUAAAUGAAUUGUAAAUUCCUGUCAUUCUCAUGAAAUUAUUGACUGAGGAAGAAAUGAGGAAUCGAUCAAUCUACGUAAAAUACGCGAACAGUUGCCCCGAGGGCGAAUCGCUGCUCUGACGUCAAUAAAAUCGAAAGGAAAAGGUGAAACCAUGGGACCGAUCAUCAGACCAACUCAUUCAUUAUUCACAAAUUUAUUGUUCGACAGUUCACCUAAAUUAUUCAGCGAAUCGCGUUAUGUAAUGAAUAUUAUAUAUAUUGAGUUCAUUACAUGGCGUUUAUUAUUAUUGCGACCUUGAGAGUGCGCACAGUUCAUACGCAUAAACGAGAGAAAUUGUCAGACAAUUUUUAUGUUUUAGGGAUGAAAUUGGCGCAUCUGAAAAUUAAAAAAAAAGAAAAUUCAUUUGCAUGCGUAAAAAUAAAUGAAAAAGUCCAGUUGACCGAGUCUCUAUUGCACCAAAGAAAAAUAUCUGUUUCGCUGACAAAAAACCCUGAAAGGUCCCCCUUCCCCCGUCUCACCAAUAAUUAUCUAAGAGCCAAUAAGUUGUGUGGGGAAAUGUUACAAGAGCACUUUUGAAACUCAUCAAAUUUUCUGUAAGAACAUGACAUUCCGUCUUAAAAUCGAUCACUGUCCUGAUAAUUUCAUAAUCAAUAGUGAGAUAACUUAAGCCAUUAUAUAGUACCAUUUCAAUACAAAAGUAUUACUUCAUUUCACUUGGAUAUUACACUGGCAAAAACGAAGGUGUUUUUGUUCAAAUAAAAUUUUUUAUUCUGAUUAAAUUACACCAAGAAUUUAUCUCAAAAGUAGUUCCGGAUUUUAAAAACUUUAUUUAUUUAUUUAUAUUCUGUUUAUUCAACUCCUCACAGUCGAAUUAAUUAUUGGUGAAUUUGAUCAGGGACUGCCUAAUCGAAUUAAUUGUUCAUAAAUUCUUUAGAAGUCUCUCUCUCUCUCUCUAGCCCCCCCCCCUCCAAUCUCCUACCCCUUCCCCUCUCCCUUGGCAUUUGCCAUCCAAGAAAUUUGCAUUUCGAAGGAACGAACAAGCUCUUCAGCACCCCAAUCAUUAUCCCCAUGAAAAUCUUGAUCAAUUCAAUGAAGACCUUUGAAAAAAAUGAAAUUAGCGAAAGUACAAACGACACGCGGUGAAACACGAGAGCUCGAUCUUGCGGACUUGCUGCACCGGAUUGCCGAGGUGUUGUAUAUACAUUUGAAAAAAAAGGGGCAAGGAGCGGCAUUAGGGAGCGGUGUAUCUGGCGAAGACGCGGCGAAGGAGAAAGGUAGACUCGGCACAGUUUUCAUCAUAAAAAUUUACCAAAAAAUUGUCAAAAUUUUGCGUAUCAAAAAUAAAAAUAAACUUAUCCGCAAAAACUAAAAACUUUCCUUCACAAUUUUUCAUUACUUGAUUUUUUACUCACAACAAUAAACUCCUCAGCCACAUAUCUGCACUUCACUGGCGAUUCCAAACGUUCGCUCGAUCGAUUUCCAAUUUUUUUUUUGUCAAUUUGUUAAUUUAUUUGGUUAAUAAUGUAGCUGUUUUUUUUUAUUUAGGGUAUUGUAGUGAAUUGUUCAUUUGUCGGUUCAACUGCACUUCAUUUGGCCGUCACUUGCGCAUUACGAUAACUCACUGAUAAACACACAAAAAAAAACUGGGAGCCUGUGAGUCGUUGCUCCGUGUGUGAGAGUGACUUUUGCUGGAGUUUUGGAAAAAGUAAAAGUAAGAGGCAGUAGAUGAUUGUGGUGAGGGUAUGAGAACGCCGGCGAUGCCAGGCCUCUACUUAUACCGCCACCCACCACUGGACACUUUGGGGCCUGGGCAACCCCACCAGUACAUGUGGAAAAGUGGACGUUCGAAUGGGUGAACGAGACUAACACCUGGGGGAUACUGUUGAGAAUGGUAGACGAGUUAAAAAAAUAUAAAAACUCCAUGUACACGAUGCGCAACAGUUAAUGAUAAGAAUGAUGGACACUGCAAAUGAAUUCAACUUAUCGGGGACUGCGAAUCCCUGGGGUAUCGCUGGAGGAGUUACACUGACCUACAGAUCGAGCACCAUCACUCAUCUCCAUUGGCCUCCAUUCGCUCCCCAAGAAUUUCCAUUUAUCACUGAUUUUUCAAUGAUUUAUUGCUAACGGGGGCAUCAUUGUUAUCAAGGGAACAACCGCAUUAACGUGGUGGGUAUUUUUGGAGUAGAAACGGAACCUGUUUUAUUCGGCGACCAGGCCAGACCAGUUUUGACGUCUGUCCUUGCAAGGUUUUGUCUCCUGGGUCUCAAAAAAAGAAUGAGAGAAGAGAAAUUUAUUUGCUUUUCCAAGAAGAUGAAUUUUUGAGAAUAAUUUACUGAUUAAAAAAAUACAUUCUAUCGUUCACAUUAAUUCAAUCGCAGCUUAUUCAUCUUCCUCUUCAUCUUAAAUUUUUCUCUAACAAUUAAAAAACGGUUUUUCGGAGUCAAUUCGUUUAUUCUAUUUUCUAUAUUUAUUUAUUCAUAUAAUCAUCAUUACAAUUUAUUCUUUUAAUAGCCCGUGAGGAUCGCGAUCUCCUAGCUAGUAAUAAAACUAAUGAUAAAAAAAAUAUUUGUUUGAAGAGCGCCGGCUCAGCAGCACCGAGUAAUUAUCCUUCACAGAUUGACUCGCUUAUUCACUCAUAAUUCCUCACGUG